rnacentral:lncRNA from 1 species
CUAGGGUUCUCUCUGUUGUUUGAAGGCCGGUCUUCUCCGGUCGCGAAGAAGGAGGGUAACUCUGUCCUUAUCUUGAGUAUUCUAUGUUUUGUGUAUGAUUAUCUGACUCCGUAUGUGAGUAUUUGAUUUUAUGUGUGAAUAUCUGGUUUGGCUGUACUCUGUUUGUUGAAAUUUUUUUAAGCCGGUUCAUUGAUUAUGGCUUCUAAUACAAAUACUGGUACCUCCUCCUCUGUAGACUCUUCUAGCCCCCUUUUUGUAUAUUCCUCUGAUGUCCAUGGGGUCUCUCUUAUUUGGCUGUACUCUGUUUGUUAAAAAAUUUUAAGCCGGUUCAUUGAUUAUGGCUUCUAAUACAAAUACUGGUACAUCCUCCUCUGUAGACUCUUCUAGCCCCCUUUUUGUAUAUUCCUCUGAUGUCCCUGGGGUCUCUCUUGUUCCCACUCCCUUCUCGGGUAGUGGUUAUGGGGGCUGGAGAUGUAAAAUAAUUGUUGCUUUAUCAGCCAAAAACAAAAUUGGUUUUGUUGAUGGCACAUGUUCCCGACCUACCAUUAAUGUGGCUCAACAAAGGUUGUGGGAUAGGUGCAACAACAUGGUGAUUUCUUGGUUCACUGCUUCCCUCUUCUGUGUAUUGUGACAGCCAGGCAGCCAUUCACAUUGCCACGAAUCAUAUUUUUCAUGAACAGACUAAACACAUUGAAGUGGAUUGUCAUUUUGUGCGCGAUCUGCUCCAGAGUGGCCUUAUUCAACUGUUCCAUGUCCCUACCACUCGCCAGCUCGCUGACCUUCUGACCAAGCCUUUGCCCGGCACCAUACUUCAUCCAUUGUUGCUCAAGUUGCAGGUGGUGUCUCCCUUCAACUUGAGGGGGGGUGUUGAGAUAAGAGAAAACACAUGAUAGAGCCUUGUAUAGCCUUGUACAUUUUGUGUAUACUCAUUGUAUAUUUUCGGUAUAUCCAUG